GUAUGAGGGGUCUUCGGUCCAGAAUGGGGGGUUUGGGGGGGGAAAUGGGGGGUCUUUGGUCCAAAAUGGGGGGGCUUGGGGGGGGGAAAUGGUAGUUUUUGGGGGGGAAAUGGUGGUUUUGGGGGGAAAUGGGGGGUCUUGGGGGGGGGAAAUGGGGGUCUUUGGUCCAAAAUGAGGGGUUUGGGGGGGGAAAUGGGGAUUUUUGGGGGGAAAUGGGGGGAUCUGUAUAGAGAAUUAAAGGGAUUUGGGGUGAAAUGAGGGGAUUUGGGGUGAACUAGAAGGAUUUUGGGGGGAAAUGAGGAGAUUUGUGGUGAAGUAAAUGGAUUUUGGGGUGAAAUGAGGGGAUUUGGGGUGAAAGAAAUGGAUUUUGGGGGGAAAUGAGGGGAUUUGGGGUGAAAGAAAUGGAUUUUGGGGGUGAAAUGUGGGGAUCUGGAGAGAAUUAAAGGGAUUUGGGGUGAAAUGAAGGGAUUUGGGGUGAAAAAAUGGAUUAUAGGGGGGAAAUGAGGGGAUCUGGGGUGAAAUAAAGGGAUUUUGGGGUGAAAUGAGGGGAUUUUGGGUGAAGUAAAUGGAUUUUGGGAGGAAAUGAGGGGAUUUGUGGUGAAGUAAAUGGAUUUUGGGGUGAAAUGAGGGGAUUUGGGGUGAAAUAAAGGGAUUUCGGGGGGAAAUGAGGAGGUUUGGGGUGGAAUGAAGAGGUAUUGGGGUGAACCCAGGGGAUUUGGGGUGAAAUAAAGGGAUUUUUGGGGUGAAAUGAGGGGACCUGGAGAGAAUUAAAGGAAUUUUUGGGGUGAAAUGAGGGGAUUGGGGGUGAAGUAAAUGGAUUUUUGGGGUAAAUGAUGGGAUUUGGGGUGAAAUAAAUGGAUUUUAAGGGUAAAAUGAGAGGAUUUGGGGUGAAAUAAAGGGAUUUUAAGGAUGAAAUGAGGGGAUUUGGGGUGGUAUGAAGAGGUUUUGGGGUGAACCCAGGGGAUUUGAGGUGAAAUAAACAGAUUUAUGGGGUGAAAUGAGGGAAUUUGGGGUGAAAUAAAGGGAUUUUUGGAUGAAAUGAGGGGAUUUGGGGUGGUAUGAAGAGGUUUUGGGGUGAAAUAAAGGGAUUUUGGGGGUGAAAUGAGGGCACCUGGAAAGAAUUAAAGGGAUUUGGGGUAAAAUGAGGGGAUGUGGGGUGAAAUAAAGGGACUUAUGGGGUGAAAUGAGGGGAUUUUAGGGGGAAACGGACCCAAUUUGGGUCGAAACGAUUGGAAUUUGGGGCAACGAAGCGGCACUGAAAGGUGUUGAAGGCAUUUUGGGGGGGAAUAAUGCGAUUUUGGGGCGGAAAAAUGCGAUUUUUUGGGAAAAAAGUGGGGAGAAUUUGGGACGCAAGGAAUGCACUGAGGGAUACGGAGAGCUUUUUGGGGUGAAAUACGUGGAUUUUGGGGACAGAACACAGGCUUGGGGGCUGGGCGGGACGUUUUGGGGUAGAAAAACGGGUUUUUGGGAAGGAAAAGUGCGCCUGAGGGCUGAAAUCGAAGGAUUUCAAGCCGGGAAGGGCGGAUUUUGGGGCGAAAAAGUGCGGUUUUGGGGCUCUUUCCCCUCCUUUCGGAUAGACCGGAAGUGGGGGCCGGAAGGGGCGGGGCUUUGCGUGGCCACGCCCCCUCCGUAAGGCCCCGCCCGCCGCCCUCCCCCCCCCCCCCCCAAUUUAUCGCCGUUAUAUCGCGAUAUCGCCCCCCCCUCCCCUUCCACAAUUACCCCCCCCUCCGCCGAGUAAAAUCCAUCAGAAACGAGGGGAAAAAAAAACCCAAAAACCUUCAAAACGUGGAGGGAGGGGGGUAAAAAAAAAAAACAAAAAACCCCUCAGAGCGACCCGAAACCGCCGCGAUUCUCCUCACAACGCGGCAAGUGCGCCACAAACGGCGGCCGAUGGCCCCGUGAAGAAAAUAAACCCCCCUCCCCCCCCCAAAACGUCCCGGACUGCCCCCAAAACGCCGACCGUUUUCCCUCAAAAUGGGGUAAAAAUGAAAGAAAAACGGCCCUUUUUGGGGGGCCUAGGCCUCACCGCUGGGCCCCGCCGCCGCCGCCGCCUCCUGGCUCGGGG
ensembl:lncRNA